rnacentral:rRNA from 1 species
AACACAUGCAAGUCGAACGAAGAAAUUUCACCGUAGCUUGCUACACCGAGAUUUCUAGUGGCGACGGGUGAGUAACACGUGAGCAAUCUGCCUUUCAGAGGGGGAUACCAGUUGGAAACGACUGUUAAUACCGGCAUAACCAUAAUUAAAUCGCAUGAAUUAAUUAUCAAAGAUUUAUCGCUGAAAGAUGAGCUCGCGUCCGAUUAGAUAGUUGGUGAGGUAACGGCCCACCAAGUCGACGAUCGGUAGCCGGACUGAGAGGUUGAACGGCCACAUUGGGACUGAGACACGGCCCAGACUCCUACGGGAGGCAGCAGUGGGGAAUAUUGCACAAUGGGGGAAACCCUGAUGCAGCGACGCCGCGUGAGCGAAGAAGAUCUUCGGAUUGUAAAGCUCUGUCUUAGGGGACGAUAAUGACGGUACCCUGAGAGGAAGCCACGGCUAACUACGUG